AUGAAGGACAAACUAGACACUUUAAUCAAGCAAAUUAAGAAGGAUAAAAACAGGGCAGGUGAGUCCAAAGAUAUAUCAGAUGUUAAGGACAUCUGCAUUCUUCUAGAGGCUAUACAGACAAAAUCUGGACAAUAUACCCCUCCACAGCAGACAUGGGAGCUCGAGUGCAACACGCGCAAGAUUCUAUUUGGAACACGCAAGCAUGAAAAGGUGUUGCAGGCGUCCAAUCGAGCUCCGCAGCAUCGAGUGCCUUGCUGUUUAUGUAGAUGUGGUACAUGUCUGAAUUUGUGCUCUCUUUUGGUAGAUAUAUGGUACGUAAAGACGGAUCACAUCACUGUCUGUUUAAAUGCAUGA
rnacentral:rRNA from 1 species